rnacentral:lncRNA from 1 species
GGCCAUUAAGACUAUACUUUCAGGGAUCAUUUCUAUAGUGUGUUACUAGAGAAGUUUCUCUGAACGUGUAGAGCACCGAAAACCCCGAGGAAGAGAGGUAGCGUUUUCUCCUGAGCGUGAAGCCGGCUUUCUGGCGUUGCUUGGCUGCAACUGCCGUCAGCCAUUGAUGAUCGUUCUUCUCUCCGUAUUGGGGAGUGAGAGGGAGAGAACGCGGUCUGAGUGACUUUCAGGGAUCAUUUCUAUAGUGUGUUACUAGAGAAGUUUCUCUGAACGUGUAGAGCACCGAAAACCACGAGGAAGAGAGGUAGCGUUUUCUCCUGAGCGUGAAGCCGGCUUUCUGGCGUUGCUUGGCUGCAACUGCCGUCAGCCAUUGAUGAUCGUUCUUCUCUCCGUAUUGGGGAGUGAGAGGGAGAGAACGCGGUCUGAGUGGUUUUUCCUUCUUGAUGGCUCAAUGACAGAGACUAGCUCGUAAACUCCGGGGCGUUUCUGGGCUGUUCGCUCCUGCUUGGCAUGUCGCGAGAAAGGUUUUCGCCUCCUGUUUCAGCGGUGACGGCUCUUGGGUUUUCUCGGGGUGGCUUUUUAAUUUUAGUCUUGGCGCGAGGCGGGGGAUGCUGUGUGGCACCUCCUAUUGUCUCUUUUUGCGUUUUCUCCCAUUCUCGCUCCCUCUUUUGUCGCCGUUUCCCGCCCGCCACUCCCACCCCCAGACGGGGUCUCCGGGUCUCUUGUUCUGUCUGCCGGCCCCGGCUGGAUUGCAGUGGCGCGAUCUCGGCUCCUAGCAACAUCUGCCUCCCGGGCUCAAGCGAGUCUCCCGCCUAAGCCCUCCCGAGUAGCCGGGGCUUAAAGGCGCACACGCCACUCCAGGCUUUUUUUUUUUUUUUUUUUUUUUUUUUGGCAGAAACGGGGUGUCAGCAUGUUAGCCAGGCUGGUCUCCAACGCGUGAUCUCAGGUGAUCCGCCCGCCUCGGCCUCCCGAAGUUCUGGGAUUACAGGCGUGAGCCACUGCACCCGGCCCUUCUAUUUUUUUAAAUAGCGACGGGGUUUCACCAUGUUGGCCAGGCUGCUCCUGAACACCUGAGUUCAGGUGAUCCGCCCGCCUCGGCCUCCCGAAGUUCUGGGAUUACAGGAGUGAGCCACCGCGCCCGACUGAGAACUGUAAGAAAUAAAUUUGUGUUAUUUAAGCCACAAAGUCUGUGUAUUUUGUUAUGGAGCCCAAGAAAAGCAGCUUCUUCUGAAACUAAACACUUUCGGUAUGAUCAGAACUCGUGCCUCUUGGUGUCUACCCAAAUGAGUUGAAAAUGUCCACACAAAAACCUGCACACCUGUUUAUAGCAGCUUUAUCCAUAAUUGCCAAAACUUGGAACUAAGAUGUUCCUGAAUAGAGCCAGCGGCUGUGGCUUGUGUCUGUAAUCCCUGCUACUUGGGCAGCUGAGGCAGACAGUCAGUCACUUGAGAUAAGCAGUUUGAGACCAGUCUGGGCAACAGAGUGAGACCCCAUCUCUAUAAAAAGUACUUUUAGGGCCGGGUGCGGGUGGCACGCCUGUAAUCGCAGAACUUCGGGAGGCCGAGGCGGGCGGAUCACCUGAACUCAGGUGUUCAGGAGCAGCCUGGCCAACAUGGUGAAACCCCGUCGCUAUUUAAAAAAAUAGAAGGGCCGGGUGCAGUGGCUCACGCCUGUAAUCCCAGAACUUCGGGAGGCCGAGGCCGGCGGAUCACCUGAGAUCACGCGUUGGAGACCAGCCUGGCUAACAUGCUGACACCCCGUUUCUGCCAAAAAAAAAAAAAAAAAAAAAAAAAAAGCCUGGAGUGGCGUGUGCGCCUUUAAGCCCCGGCUACUCGGGAGGGCUUAGGCGGGAGACUCGCUUGAGCCCGGGAG